AAUAGAUACCCAGGUAGUCCACGCCCUAAACGAUGUCAACUAGUUGUUGGGGAUUCAUUUCCUUAGUAACGUAGCUAACGCGUGAAGUUGACCGCCUGGGGAGUACGGUCGCAAGAUUAAAACUCAAAGGAAUUGACGGGGACCCGCACAAGCGGUGGAUGAUGUGGAUUAAUUCGAUGCAACGCGAAAAACCUUACCUACCCUUGACAUGGUCGGAAUCCUGCUGAGAGGCGGGAGUGCUCGAAAGAGAACCGGCGCACAGGUGCUGCAUGGCUGUCGUCAGCUCGUGUCGUGAGAUGUUGGGUUAAGUCCCGCAACGAGCGCAACCCUUGUCCUUAGUUGCUACGCAAGAGCACUCUAAGGAGACUGCCGGUGACAAACCGGAGGAAGGUGGGGAUGACGUCAAGUCCUCAUGGCCCUUAUGGGUAGGGCUUCACACGUCAUACAAUGGUCGGAACAGAGGGUUGCCAAGCCGCGAGGUGGAGCCAAUCCCAGAAAACCGAUCGUAGUCCGGAUCGCAGUCUGCAACUCGA
rnacentral:rRNA from 1 species